rnacentral:rRNA from 1 species
UACGUAGGGUGCGAGCGUUGUCCGGAAUCAUUGGGCGUAAAGAGCGUGUAGGCGGUUCGGUAAGUCCGCUGUGAAAGUCCAGGGCUCAACCCUGGAAUGCCGGUGGAUACUGUCGGGCUAGAGUCCGGAAGAGGCGAGUGGAAUUCCUGGUGUAGCGGUGAAAUGCGCAGAUAUCAGGAGGAACACCAAUGGCGAAGGCAGCUCGCUGGGACGGUACUGACGCUGAGACGCGAAAGCGUGGGGAGCAAACAGG